GCGCACUUCAUGCUGGGUUUUGGUUGCGAACAACUCCCUCGCUGUGGUCUGGACUGUCAUCUCCUCCCUACUCCUGUUUCCCUGUGACUACCAAUGCGAAUGCUGACCGUGGAGCUGACACACUUCCCUCCUCUGCUCCUGUUCCCCUGGGCUAGCUCGCAUUGUGGAAAAGGCCGAGGUAGGCAUUGGUUAUUGUUCUAACAGUGUAACGGUCCUAUUUUAAAUAUGUAUCUGGUACA